UACACAUGCAAGUCGAACGGUAGCACAGAGAGCUUGCUCUCGGGUGACGAGUGGCGGACGGGUGAGUAAUGUCUGGGAAACUGCCCGAUGGAGGGGGAUAACUACUGGAAACGGUAGCUAAUACCGCAUAACGUCGCAAGACCAAAGUGGGGGACCUUCGGGCCUCACACCAUCGGAUGUGCCCAGAUGGGAUUAGCUAGUUGGUGGGGUAAUGGCUCACCAAGGCGACGAUCCCUAGCUGGUCUGAGAGGAUGACCAGCCACACUGGAACUGAGACACGGUCCAGACUCCUACGGGAGGCAGCAGUGGGGAAUAUUGCACAAUGGGCGCAAGCCUGAUGCAGCCAUGCCGCGUGUAUGAAGAAGGCCUUCGGGUUGUAAAGUACUUUCAGCGAGGAGGAAGGCAUUAAGGUUAAUAACCUUAGUGAUUGACGUUACUCGCAGAAGAAGCACCGGCUAACUCCGUGCCAGCAGCCGCGGUAAUACGGAGGGUGCAAGCGUUAAUCGGAAUUACUGGGCGUAAAGCGCACGCAGGCGGUUUGUUAAGUCAGAUGUGAAAUCCCCGGGCUCAACCUGGGAACUGCAUUUGAAACUGGCAAGCUUGAGUCUCG
rnacentral:rRNA from 1 species